GCGGGUUUGGUCCAAGUUCCGACCCAGUAAAAAAAAGCUAAAGCAAAAAAACCUAAUCACUCGCUCUCGGAACUUCAAACACGAUCGACCCAAACGAAAAGAGAAAAACAGAGAUUACGAUCGACCCAAAGUCCAAACACGAUCGAUCUCGCAACUGACUCCAAAGUCCAAACAUUCGCAAGUCGCGAACGAGUGAGAGAGAGAGAAACGAACCUGCUUCGGCGCUCUUCGGCGACGACUUUACAGUUAACAGGUAUGGAGCACUUCUCAGUUCUUCUCUUCUUCUUCUACUCUGCUUCUCGUCAAACCCAUCCUCUGAUUUUGUUCAGUUCUAGAUUUUGUUUUAUUUAUUUCCUACUUUUUGUUCAGUUGAAGAGGGGAGUGAGUCGAGUGACAAUAGCUGUUGUUCUAAGUUAUUGAUUAUGUAUUAAUUUAACUACGAUUCUUUUUUGCAAGUGAUAAACACAAUUUAAUAUUUUAUUUUAAUUUUUUUAAAAUAGUACUUUUUGAUCACAAAUUAAGUUGAGGGAUUAAUUGAUCAAUUAGGAUUGUGUUUUAUUACUAUGUUGUAAAAUGUCAUGCAUUGUGAUUUCUGGUAAUAUAAAGCAGAAAGAGAAGUUAUUAACUAGGAUUAUAUUUUAGUCCUUUUUCUUUUGUAGUUCUUGAUUAUAAAUAAAUUUAUAAUGUCAUCUAUGUUUAGUUGUUUACUUGUUUUGUUAUUACAAUUUUACAAAUUACAAUGUCUUGUUUGUUUGUUUAAUUGUAUUUUGUAGAAUUGUAGAUAGUUAAAUGGCGGAAAGUUCAGGAGCUGAGGGUUAUGAUCCAACUAAGGAUCCUAAAAGAAAGGGCAAGUCUAAAGAUCCGGGGUGGAAAUAUGCAUUUUGGCCAGAAUUGAGCGAUAAAAAUCUUGUGCAAUGCAUUCUAUGUGGAAAAAAGGUUCAUGGAGGAAUCAAGAGAUUUAAACAACAUCUUACCGGUAGGUAUGGGGAUGUGUCCAAGUGUCCUCGAACUACAACAGAAAUUUCAAAUGAGAUGCAUCAAGCAAUAAUGGGUAACAUAAGGAAUAAGCCAAUUCAAUUUGAUGACCAUGACGAAGUAGAAGAAAUUCAGUCAUCUAAUAUUCCAAACAUGCUUGUUAAGUCGUCGACUAGUCGUCGCCUAGGCGACGACUAGGCGUCAAGUCGGAAAAAAUUUUCGAGUCGUUGGGUCGACUUGGUUGGAAAGCAGAAAGGCGCGCGCUCAGACACCGACUCGGACGCUUUGGACGACUUCUGAGCGACUUGGACGACUAUAUUUGUAAGUCGUCGACUUGUUUGAGCGGGUUUGGUCUGAGUUCCGACCCAGUAAAAAAAAGCUAAAGCAAAAAAACCUAAUCACUCGCUCUCGGAACUUCAAACACGAUCGACCCAAACGAAAAGAGAAAAACAGAGAUUACGAUCGACCCAAAGUCCAAACACGAUCGAUCUCGCAACUGACUCCAAAGUCCAAACAUUCGCAAAUCGCGAACGAGUGAGAGAGAGAGAAACAAACCUGCUUCGG
rnacentral:lncRNA from 1 species